UGGCUGUGGUGGAAAUGGUCAGGGUAAGGAAUGACAUACGGCUGUCUGAAAUCAAACAGGCUAUUGAGAACAGCAAUGACACCUUUGCCAAUGUGCCAUCAAUUAGCCUUCCAACAAUUGCCCGGCUUUUGAAGAAGCACCAGGUUUCCAUGAAAAAAAUUUACUUGGUUCUUUUUGAGAGGAACAAUGUCCGGGUGAAACAACUGCGUUCAGAAUAUAUUCAGAGGGUGAUGGAGCUGGACGCUGCUGUGAAUCAUCACAAGUAUAUUUUCGUUGAUGAGGCCGGUUUCAAUCUGGCAAAAACUAGACGCAGAGGACGUAACCUUAUUGGACAAAGGGCUACAAUCCAAGUCCCUGGACAACGUGGGGGAAACAUCUCAAUGUGUGCAGCUAUAUCUGAAGAUGGUGUGGUAGGCUGUAGACCAGUUCUAGGGUCAUACAACACUGAACACCUGAUAGUUUUUU